GACGAACGCUGGCGGCGUGCUUAACACAUGCAAGUCGAACGAUGAAGCCGGAGCUUGCUCCGGUGGAUUAGUGGCGAACGGGUGAGUAACACGUGAGCAAUCUGCCCUUGACUCUGGGAUAACUGCGGGAAACUGUAGCUAAUACCGGAUACGACACCUUGGGGCAUCCCAGGGUGUGGAAAGAAUUUCGGUCAAGGAUGAGCUCGCGGCCUAUCAGCUAGUUGGUGAGGUAAUGGCUCACCAAGGCGACGACGGGUAGCCGGCCUGAGAGGGUGACCGGCCACACUGGAACUGAGACACGGUCCAGACGCCUACGGGAGGCAGCAGUGGGGAAUAUUGCACAAUGGGCGAGAGCCUGAUGCAGCAACGCCGCGUGAGGGAUGAAGGCCUUCGGGUUGUAAACCUCUUUUAGCAGGGAAGAAGCGAAAGUGACGGUACCUGCAGAAAAAGCACCGGCUAACUACGUGCCAGCCGCCGCUGUAA
rnacentral:rRNA from 1 species